UCUGUUCUACUGUGUACGUGAUAGAAUUUAUAUUUUGCCCAACAUCUAACACACAGGGAGCCUGGUCUCCAGCUGUGGCGUAUAAGCCUCCAUUGAGUGGACAUAUAAAUCAGCUGGGAGGGCACCCACUUAGCAGAAGGGGAGCAAAAAAUAUUAAUUCUUGCGGCAUGGUGGAACAGAU
rnacentral:other from 1 species